rnacentral:lncRNA from 7 species
UUGGCAGAUUUGUGUUUCACCAGGUACCUUCCUCUACCAGUACUGACACAGAGAUUUCUUAAGGAUUCUCCUUUUCACUGUUUCUCAAAACUAGAACUCCACAAAAUAAACUCAUAUUUGGUAUAUGUUGCUUCAAGCUUGGCGUGGUCCCCAGUCCUUGUUCUGAGAGCAGGCUUUCCCCCACUAGAAUCACAAAAUCAUAGAAUCAUAGAAUCACCAAGACUGGAAAAGAACUACAGGAUCAUCCAGUCCAAGCAUCCACCUAUAACCAAUAGUUCUCGCUAAAGCAUGUCCAUCAGUACAACACCUAAACGUUCCUUGAACACCUCAAGGGUUGGUGACUCCAGCACCUUACUGGGCAGCCCAUUCCAGUGCCUGACAACUCUUCUGGAAAAGCAGUAUUUCCUAACAUCCAGCCUGAAUAUCCCCUGGUGCAACUUGAGGCCAUUCCCUCUAAACAGGAGUCAUGCAGAAGAACUUUGAUGAAAAUGCCUUGGAGGAUGAAGCUCUGGUUUUGUUCUACAGAGUAUUAACAUCUUCUGUAAUAGAAAUCAAACUACUGGGAAUCAAGUACUUCACAAUCUACUAUCACCAAUGAGUGCUACUCUUUAUAUGUUUAUUACUGCAGUAAAUAUCUGUUAUUGUCUAUAGAGUUUGUCUUUCUAAGCCUGAGUGGUUUCAUAAAACAACCUUCUAAUAUGGCUAGAAACUACAUACAAGAACAAAAAUCAAAUCUCUGACUUUACCUGUAGCAUACAUGUCAUCUCAUGUCCCUUUCCUUUCACCUUUUUUAGAUAAGUAAUACCUCACAAGAAACAACGUAGAGCCUAAAAGAAGUAAUGGAGAUAAUCAAAUAGACUUGAAUGUCAGUUUUACAAUUCACUUAGAACUGUGGAAGCCCAUUCGUGGUUGAAGAUUGGACAAAUGUGAUUAUUUAUGUACUAUUCAGACAUAAUGCAUUACUGUACAUAAGCCAAGACAUGGAAUUCUGGAGAUUUUGCAUAUUUAAGUUACAGUGGAAAUGUUGGGAAUAUCAGAGAUUAAGAGACGAACUGUAAAUAUGACAAUUUGUCAAAGUUCUUCUCUCAGACAAUGAAUGAAUCUCAGACCAGUGACAAACAAAAUCAGAAGGAAAUGCAGAAUAGAAUAGAGGAUUACUUUUUUUUUUUUUUAAUGUGAUAAAAAAUUGCAUUGUUUAUUAAAAUAAUAUGAGUUAGCAGUAAUGGUUUCUGACAAACAAAUAAAUAAUCCCCUUCUACCAAAAUGAAUACAUAUGCUUACAAAUAUAUGUCCUACUCAGGAAAUUAGAUUUGUUUGUUCUUGAACUAAAUAGUUUGCCAUACUAUCAUCUUUUUGGCAGUAUUUUCAUUUCACGUUUUGGCUGCCAGGGGCAAUGAAAUGGCAAUGACUCUAGCUGCAAAUAUUCAGUGAGAGAACAAGCUUAUAAGAUUCCAACCUUUUGAAGAUCUGUUAAACGUGCAAAUAAUUUUAACUUCUUUGUUGACCUAGUUAACCAUUAUAUAGAAAGAAUGACU